CCCCAGUGCCCUGCAGAGAGAGCAGUGACUGAUGCACAGUGAGCAUGGGCACGGCGGGUCAUCGUGGGACAAUGUGGCUGCUUCCCAUUGUCCUCCUUUUCCUUCAGAUGAGGCAGACAGACUGGAAAGACAACCAUAAUUUGAGAUGAGCAUUCAGGAAGUCAUGGGAAACUGAAGCACUGGUCCAAUGUAAAUAGAAGUCAUACCAAGUGGUGCAAGGUCAACUUGAGAACUGUGAGCAGUUCUGAAAAACUGGAGAUGCAGGAAUCACAUGUUCCUGUGCUGCU